rnacentral:rRNA from 1 species
UGCGUAGGCGGUUCAUUAAGUCAGCGGUGAAAUACGACAGCUUAACUGUCGAGGUGCCAUUGAUACUGGAGAACUUGAGUACUGAUGAGGUAUGCGGAAUGGACGGUGUAGCGGUGAAAUGCUUAGAUAUCGUCCAGAACACCGAUAGCGAAGGCAGCAUACUAAGGAGUAACUGAGCUGAGGCACGAAAGUGUGGGGAUCAAACA